rnacentral:sRNA from 1 species
AGCGAGAGGCUCUGAGGCUGCCAGAGUGGUUGUGUCUGUUGCUCGGGUAAGGGGUAAUUCGCCGAGGGGCGCGGACCAGACCGACCUCGGGUCGGGCCCGGGAACCCCGAGAGGAGAGCCCAGCCCCUGGUGGAGGCGGCUUGGCGGAGAUUCGGAGCCGUCAGCAGGAGCUGCUCUCGUUUGAGGAUGUGGCGAUGUACUUCACCAGAGAGGAGUGGGGCCACCUCAGCUGGGGUCAGAAGGACCUCUACCGAGAUGUGAUGUUGGAGAACUACAGGAACAUGGUCUUGCUGGGAUUUCAGUUUCCCAAACCUGAGGUGAUCUGUCAGCUGGAGAACUGGGACGAGCAAUGGAUCCUGGAUCUACCGAGAGCUGGGAAUAGGAAGGCUUCCGGUAGUGCUUGCCCAGGUG